rnacentral:tRNA from 2 species
GUGGGCGUAGCUCAGAGGUAGAGCGCCCGGUUGUGAUCCGGGUCGUCGCGGGUUCAAGCCCCGUCGUCCACC